rnacentral:lncRNA from 1 species
UCCUCCAUGAACUUCUGAAUUUCUGAGGUUAGGGUUAUUGGUUUUUGGAGCGGUGCUGGGAAAGAGGAAGAAGACCAAGAAGGCAAGAAAGGAAAGGAAAACGAGAAGCUCGGGUGAUGGAGGUAAUGCUGGAGAAGGGUUCCUGGCGGUGGGAUCAAUUCUAGGAGGAGGGGAGAUCAUAGUGGAGGAUAUGAAGCCCGUGUGAAUGACAUAGAAGAAGAGGAGGAGCUCAAGGCUACGGAGAAAAAGGACAAUAGUAGAGUAUCAGACUUCAUUCUAGCUGAGAUCAACUUUUGUUUUCACGGGACAUGUGAAUCCUCUCUGAUUUGGUUUUGUCUAAAUUUCACAGUGUGAAACCUGGCCAUGUGAAUCCUGAAGUAAAAAAAUGAUGGUUCUGACUUGAUUGAAUGUUAGUAGUGAUGUACAUAAAGAAUCAGCCUGUACCUAGCUGACCAUGCUAAUUCUCUGUAAAUUUGUGUUAAUCAAAAUUUGCACAUACAUACAAGCAAUAUUUCUUCAAUUAAAGAAUAUUCACCUUACGACAAUUUUUGUUUUAUGCUAUUCUUAAGAUAAAAUUUGUAUCGGUGAUGCUAGCUUUAUGUUUUGUGAAUUUACCAGGCAAAUCAAUAAUUGAAAUUCUGCCAAGAAAUCUAGGGGCAGAAGAAGAUGUAUACUUUAGGUGUACGUGAAUCUUUAAGCCGUUCCUUUCUAGGACAAUUUCUAAGACAAUUUUCCUUUUACCCAGAGGUUUACAAGCUUUGGGUGCCUGCGGCCGGCUCGACGGGUGGCAUCAGCAAGCGCCGGCCGGCCUCGGCACUGCUGCGGGUGGUUAUAUAGUCGGCGGAGCACACUAGUGGGCUUCAACGUCAGCGUACGGUGGCGAGCUAAAUCGUGAGUCCUGCUAGGCUUUUUUUGAUUCAGGUUUUGUUACUGUUUUCCAUUCGGGGUUAUAUGGCGAGCAAACCUAACAUUUGCAGUUGUUUGUUUCAGAAAUUCAUGUCCUGACAUCAAAUUUCGAUACGUAAGGUAAAUCCUGCCAACAAAGCUAUGUUAUGGGCUUACUAGUUCUCUUCAUAUCUCUAUCUUCCUUUUGUGAAGUUGUGUAGCGAUCUUCCUUUUACUAUAUGCAAUUCGAUUUUCUUAGGAAUACUCUCCAUUUUCUUAGGAACACGACGUCGUUGCGAUGCCUCCAGAUGCACCAGCAACAGAACAUGAAGAAUGUCAAUGGCAAGGUGAGCGACAUCUAGCAGAUUGCGGACAGAGGCCACGGAAGGUGACCGGAACCCCAACAUGGCCCUGAAAUCAACCACCAAUGGGCAGGCAGAGACGAGGUGUCUCGCUGACUGCAGCGAGGCAUGGCGGAAUGGGCUACUAUUACACGCUCUAAAAGUGAGGUUUAUAGCAAUUAAAAAGGUGAUUUUAUUCCUGAAUCGUGCUUAACAUUUCUUUAGCAAACAAGCACUAGCAGCCCGUUUUCAGAUGUGCUUCUUGUUGGUUCAUGUAGACAUGCCAAUGAAGCCCUGAUAAAGAGUAGAAAAAAUACAGUUUAUUUGUUUAAUUGUUCUCUUGUGUAGACCAAAAUUAGCGAGUAAAGGUAAUUUGAGUUUGCUUCCAAAUUCUUUCUGCGAGUUUAUCCCAGGAAUAAUGUUUUGUUCCUAUUUGAGUUGCAACAUGUGACUUCUGGAGGCUACUCUUCCAUUUGAUGUUGCUGUUCAACAGCUCUCAAAGGCACAGAGCAAAUCAGUCGGGCUUCUCGAAGAAAACAUAUUUUUGAUAAAUGAUGUGCCAUGCAUCCUUCCGCACACCUAAUCGCCUGCUUAGAACAAAUAAAAUUAGUUGCAUUUGCCUGUAUUGGUGGAGUGUGUAUAGAUGGCAGAAUAGCUCCAGCCUUGCUUUCUACUAACCAGUUUCAUUUUCUUUCAGAAUCAAGUUCCUGCUUUUUUCUCCCUGAUGUGAGUGUAUUGGAGUAUAGGGUUCUCCCUGGAGGGUCUUGUAAUCAGUGAGCUAUCUGAGGCAAUGUAUAGAGUUCCAGUUCUGUUUUUCUUGAGAGCCGACCCUGUAAGCUCUGUUUUCUUAGAGUUGAUAUGUAAAUUCUUCAAUGUUUAAAUAAAGUUCAGCCUCAGGCCCUUAAAGAUAACACUACUCCCCAAAUUAAA